CGUUUUCUUGGAUUGAUAGAGA
rnacentral:miRNA from 1 species